AAUCCCCUGGGGUAUGCGUGAGGAGUACAGUCUUCCUGAGCCGAUAAUUCUGAACCCGGGUGGCCGGCACUGACCGUGGAGCGAGAACCUCUUGUGGUUCACCAGAAGCGGUUACCAGGCUGCCAAUCUAGACGAACGGGUUCAAGAAGCUUGUCUCUAACGGUACUUUGGGGGUAUG
rnacentral:other from 1 species